rnacentral:lncRNA from 1 species
AUUCCAGAAUAAGUAAAUCAAAACUUGCCGAGAACACAUUGACAUAAUCUGAUAAACUGAUUAAAAGACUGUUUCACCAGCAGCAUUGCAUCAUCUAAAGAAUGAAUCAAUUGGCAGGUAUGGAAUAAAGAGAAAAUGUCGCAUUUCACUGCUAUUGUCGCAUCAACAUAAAAACCACAAGUGCUAGUAUGGAUGUAGUGACAGCAAACGAAGAUAUCCUCCUAGAUGAGCUGCUUGUUGGGAGUAUCUUUGGCAAUGAGCACUCUUCUCCAUUAAAGAAUAUCUUUGUUGGGAAUCCAUCACCGCCAGGAAUGUUGAUUCCAGGGAUAUUCUUCUUUGUGAAUGAGAUUACUGAUUGUUGUUUCCCAGGUACUCGGGGAUCUUUCUCUGGAUUAGCUCCAUCUGUUUCUGCUACUAGAUAGUUCAAGCCCUCCAGGCCUUGCAUGAACAAGGUAUUGUUAACGCCGUCUAAUAUAGUUCCGUUGAAGGAAUACACCGCAUCAAAACCAGGGGCUGCUUUAUCCAAUUGCACCGCGGUGAACCAAUCAGCAAAAGAAGUAUCAUCCCAGUUAAAGAGGGUGAUCCUGGCAGACCAUCCACCCCUAUAGUCUGUGAAUAAAUGCCAGUUGAUGCUGACACCGCAGUUAUCUCCGCAUGGCAAUGGGUUCGAAACUGGAAGAUGAUUAAUAUCAGCCCAGGCAAGGGACAUCUUGGUUCUAUUCUCAAAUGGGACCAGAAGAGCCUGAGAUGGUAGGAGAAGAGCAGGAGCUUUUGUACUACAUGUACGAGCGGUAUUCGAAGGGCAACCACAGGAGCAUGUUGGACAAGGAAUGAUAGAUUCAUUGUAGAAAGCAGAGAAAGAUACACAGCAUCUAGGGCUUGCUCCUUUUGGUUGAGUGAUGUUGCAUACAACUUGCCAGCUUGCAAAUGCUGCUGUAUCGGGUAGCAAUCCACUCGGAUCAGGAAACUGGCUGGGGCUUACACGGACUGGAGGUCCACAUUUAUAAUCUGGAUUCAGUCUGCCUUCAAUCUUCCAAUUCUGAGGAGGAGUGAACGAGGAGCGAUUGAGAUCCGGAGGCAUUUUAAAGACGUUUAUCUGGAAUGCUGAAGCAGACUUGCUUGGGUCCAUGGCAGGUGGCAAGAUCGUCCCAUUUCGGCAACAGAAAGGUAUCAUCCCCAACUUUGUGUCAUUGGUCUUUUCCAGAGGCAGAUCGAUUAUUGUUGGCCUUCUCUCACAGUUCAAUCCAUUGGAGAAGUCAAGACUCUGAUAAAAAUUUCCCUGUGGCCCGAAAACGCACUCAGAAGUAUCAACAACAGAGGGGUAAGCACCCUUCAUUUCCCAGAUAAACUCAUCCUUCAUCCAGUCCCAACUUAGUUUCCAGUUAUCAAGGCGGCCGAGGGUGUUAUGGUUUGCAAUCUUAACCUGUGCCCAGUAAUUUGAAUCAUAUGUUCUUAGGAUAUCAUACAUAAUUGUAAGGUCCCCAUCUUGUCGUGGACUGAAUUCCUCAUCCAAUGUCAGAUUUGUCUUGAAUUUUGGGUCUUUAUUGCAGCAUACUUGCAU